GGUCGAUGAUGAGCUGGCAUGUAUUCUGAAUCUAAAGUUGAUUUUUACUACUUUAGCUCUAGAAUUACUCUGAGACCUG
rnacentral:snoRNA from 1 species